rnacentral:rRNA from 1 species
ACGAACGCUGGCGGCGUGCUUAACACAUGCAGGUCGAACGGAAAGGCCCUGCUUUUGUGGGGUGCUCGAGUGGCGAACGGGUGAGUAACACGUGAGUAACCUGCCCUUGACUUUGGGAUAACUUCAGGAAACUGGGGCUAAUACCGGAUAGGAGCUCCUGCUGCAUGGCGGGGGUUGGAAAGUUUCGGCGGUUGGGGAUGGACUCGCGGCUUAUCAGCUUGUUGGUGGGGUAGUGGCUUACCAAGGCUUUGACGGGUAGCCGGCCUGAGAGGGUGACCGGCCACAUUGGGACUGAGAUACGGCCCAGACUCCUACGGGAGGCAGCAGUGGGGAAUAUUGCACAAUGGGCGGAAGCCUGAUGCAGCAACGCCGCGUGCGGGAUGACGGCCUUCGGGUUGUAAACCGCUUUCGCCUGUGACGAAGCGUGAGUGACGGUAAUGGGUAAAGAAGCACCGGCUAACUACGUG